UGGUCUCGUGUCCACAAACAUGCAAUUUAGGCGUACUUCUCAGAAUAACAGCAGUGCUCUCAAGGGAAAGUUGUUUUCCAGUGUUCCUAGCUGUGUUAGAGGAGUAUGGAAGGUACUCAAAGCUAAACUUUGUAAUCUGUACAAUUCCCAAAUGUUUGGCAUGGGACGGUGACUAGGGUCUGCAACCCUACUCUUCAUGGAUGAAAAAAUCUUUUUAAAAUUCCCCCAAAUGUCUCAUACUAAUGUGGUAAAUGGAAAACCUCAAACGACCUUGUUCCAGCAAAGCUCGAGUUUCCCUUAAACCACACCAAGAAUGUGGAAAAGUUGCCUCUCUGCCUGGAAACCAGUCACUGUGAACUGAUUGACACCACGUGAAGUGUCUCAAAGGCAAACACUAACUCUCUGGAGAGCAUUCAGUAAAAGUAGCAGAAUUGCAGCUGUGUAUCCAGACUCUCUGAAGGUCAGGUAGCUGUACCGUGGGUGAGCUGGCAGCUGAGACAUGCUACACAGCUACGCUCUUCAUGGUUGCCUAGAAAACUAUUUACUUCAAGCUGAAGGAGAACACAAGGAAGUCCUCGAUGCUCUUUUACAAAAACAAGAAGCACCUUAGGUCGCAUGGAGGUCUUUUGCUGCUAACAUACUGAUACCAAUGCUGCCCUGGUUAUAGUCAUGGAGGGGGAGGUUGAAGCCUGCACCUUUGCAUUUCUGAGCAAAAUUUUGUAUAUUUCCUUUCAAGUACAGCUUUCUCAUACACUCUGGAGAAAUAAUGUAUAUGUUCUAAAUUAAGAACUGGAAAAUAAUGCUCUCUAUAUUAAAAAAUAUUCUUGCUAAUUAAAUUUAGUCUUUUGUAUUUGAGCAAAAACCUGAGCCAGACCAAGAUCCUUUUGAGUAUCAACAUCACAUCUUGAACUGGUUCUAAUUUCCAUUGAAUCUAUCAUCUGGAUGUAUAGAAAUACUUUUACUAAAUCUGGCCGAGUACUGUUGCUGUGGUUUCCUAUAUUAGAACAUUCCAUUCUUACUCUCCUUUCUGCCGUGCAAUGUAAUGCCUUCUGUUUGGAUGGAAGCUACAUGAUCAGAAAGCAAUCCAUAUUAUGGGUGACAUGUGAAACACAGCUCUACAUAAUGCAUUUGGAUAACCAUUGAUUUCUGAGUUUUGGAGAUAAUUCUUUAGUAAAAUUCAGAAACGUUAAAAAAGAUUCUUCUUCCACAUCUUAAAAAAGAAGAAGAAGAAAGCAAAAAAAAAUCAGCAGAAAAAGAGUUUUUAUUAAAAUCAGAUUUUUGUAUUUUGGAAAUACAACUGCAUCUGCUUAGGAAAGAAAUAUUAGCAAUUUUUAUCCAUGAUCAAAAUGCUAAAAAAUAUUUUUUCUCAUCCUGUCUUUUAGCUUUCUUUGAAGUCACAAUAUUAAACCUCCUUAAAAAUAUUUAUGUGUAUUUAGUUAACAAAAGCUCCUGUAAGUUGAAUCCAUGCUGGCAAAAGGUUCAGGUAAGCUCUCUAUAUAAGCUUACAGACAAUUGUGUAAAUCUUCAGCCAUUAAAGAGAAAGGAGAAAAAAGCCAUCCUCAUUACACUGCUGUCAUUUACUCUUCAUCUCCUGUCCUCUUUAGCAGCAUUAAGAUGGGAUGUAAAUUUGCCAGUUAAUGCUGUUAGAAAAUGGAUGGUUCAAGAAGGGCAGGAAUUAGAGAUCAGUAUUAGGUGCAGAUAAGCUCCUUUUCCUCCGCAGUGGCGGCUGUUUAACAUUCAUGGGAAAAUCAUCAUCAAACAGCGUUAUCACAGCUCUGUUGAUGGCUGAGGAACUUCAUCACUAUGAUAAUUUUUUUUUAUAGCUGUGAGCCAAAAAGCUGCCUUUUAUUUCUGCUGUCUAUAACUGCGAUAGAAGCUUGUUUGUAUGGGUAGGGUAUUGCAAACUCAUAGCUCUUCAGCCAGGUUUGAUUUCUUUCCACCAUCUCUUCCCCCCUCAGCCCCUUGUGUGCGUUGCACUAAACAGUGAUGCUGAUAAAAAAUAAUAAAAAAAAAAGAGUGCUCAAACAAUCCUUCAAAGAAUAACUGAUAUUUUUAUGAUCAGUAAUUCAAAGUUUGACAAGUGAUGCCAUUCUGUAAUGACACUGUCAUCCAUUUUGCUGUAAGAAAAGAGCAGAGACUGUAAAGGAAACAAGCAGGGAAGAAGUGAAUAUCUAAUGUCACGUUAACUUGAUCAGGAAAUGGCUUAAGGAUCAUAACAUAACAUUUUUUUUCCAGUUAGAGACAGUUUUUUUGCUUCUUUCAUCGUCAGGUGAAAAGGUUCACAGCCUGUUACAUCUUCUUAUCAACUCCAACUCAAGAAGAAAACUGUACUUUUCUGUAGUUUCUCAAAUCUCUUUCAACUUAAAGAUAUUUUAGUUCAUUUGUAGUUCUUUUGCAACAACUUACAGUGUCUGAUUUCAAACUCAUCGUAUUUGCUUAUGGACUCAUCUUGAAAUGAUAUUUCUACAACAUACUCAGCCAUCUUCAAAUAUAUCUGAGAUGCAGAUUGAGGCCAUUCUUUGCCUUGUACUUGGGAGAGGGGAAGAUACACAGUUCCAGACUGCAUGCAUUCUUCUGAGGGAGAUAAGGUGCUAUUCAAGGAAAUUUUUUAAUUUAUUAAGGUUCUCAGCUUAUGCUUCUUUGCAGCUUUGCCCUCAUUUUUUAGUAGUUUAUCUGCUCUAAAUGACAUUUCUCAUUUUGAAUAUAACUGGAAAACAUUGUGCUAAACAGCAAUUUUAUAGCCUCCACAGCACCACCUGAUAAUUUUGAUAUUUCCACUUUGAAUUCAGUAUUGAUUUGAUUAGGUAGGUAAUUUACUUUCGACACAAGCUCAUUCCUUGUCUUUUCCUGAGUAGGGACUUCCAAUCAUGCCAUGUUGUGCUGAAUUAUGUUUGGAGUUUGCAGAUAAGGACUUUUGUCUACUCAAGACUGAGCUUAGGCCACCAAACUCAUUUCCCAUAGGAGGAGAGUUUGAAUCCAGUCAGGAACCUAAAGGUGAAAGGCUAGUGCUUUGUAAUUUAAAUAUUACCAUAUAAACAUAAGUUUAAGACAGAUACCAUGUGGUUUGGGGCAUACUAGAGUUAUUUUGAGUGGAAUUUCAAGAAGUUCCUCCCUAAAGAAGAAAGAAGCCCCCAAAUCUGCUGACUUCAAAAGAUCGCAGUUGUCCCCAAGGUCUCCUUGCUUCUGAGCCAUGCUGCCAGGCCCCUUCUCAGGCUGCCACCUGCGGGAACAGUGCCAGCAGAUCCCUCCUGGGCUGCUGCCCCAGCCCACCUCUGUGUUACCAGGCCUCUGCCAGAGAAGGGGAUUUCAGAGAGCACCGGACAAAGCUGGCCUUCCUUUGCUGAGCUGCAAGACAAGGGGGAUCUCAGCAUGGCCAGAGUGGGGUGGUGAUCCAAGGCAUUAUUAUACUCUUGCCUAACAUUGUUGUACUUGUUCAUGAUCACAAAAAGUGUAACAAAAAUAAAAAGGCAUUCUGUUCCAGAUAAUCACUAGACAAGAAGAUACAGCUACUCUGCAAAUCCAGCUAAUACAAGAGUGCUUUCUGUUAAUGGACUUAAAGGCUAGAGCUGGUUUUGUUCUUCUUUAGAGAGAACAUUUUCUGAGUUUCUAAAAAGAAAUAUUAUUAAAAUAUUAUUUAAAAAAUUUCUCAGGAAUCAUGACAAGCUUUUGAGACAAUGAAAGAGUUGUGAAGUGUUGUUUAAUUUUUCGUUUGUUAACAGGGUAGAAAGGAUUGUUACAGAGACAUUAUCAGUAUGAAGGAAGGUCUGUUUUGGAGCUGUUCUGCCAUCAUUCAUGCUUAUCCUACUUAUGCUUUGUUUUUAUAAGUAGGUAACUCCAUCUAGUUUCAUCAGCAAGGAGUGUAAAAAAUGAAUUUUUCUAGUUUCAUAAUACUGAGCUGGAUUGGGUUUUAUCUUGCAGUAACCAUACAAUUUUCGUUUCAGAGGAAGCUUGGGUUGCUGUUCAAAAGGCCUUAAAAUACUGUGGUAUUGUUUAAAAGACAUAUUUCUAGCCUUUUCCAGGCUAUGGAAGCCUAUGAAGCAGGCAAAAAUAUUGGGGUGUUUCAGUAACGCUUCAAGAGGGCUUCAUGACCCAUUUCCAUGUCCUAUGUCAUAUUCAGUUUUUCCUGGGACAUCA